GACGAACGCUGGCGGCGUGCUUAACACAUGCAAGUCGAGCGGUAAGGCCCUUUCGAGGGUACACGAGCGGCGAACGGGUGAGUAACACGUGGGUGACCUGCCCUCAGCUCUGGGAUAAGCCUGGGAAACCGGGUCUAAUACUGGAUAUGACUCCAUGACGCAUGUUGGUGGGGUGGAAAGCCUUGUGCGGCUGAGGAGUGGGCCCGCGGCCUAUCAGCUUGUUGGGUGGGGNGUAGUGGCCUACCAAGGCGACGACGGGUAGCCGGCCUGAGAGGGCGACCGGCC
rnacentral:rRNA from 1 species